GCCAGUGACGUUAACACGUUGAAUGCGCCAGUUCCCUAUGGAUCACUGAAGUUGAGCAACGUUGAGCGUUAUUUUCGGAUGGGUGACUAUUUUGGCAAUCACGUGUUGUUGGCU
rnacentral:rRNA from 1 species